rnacentral:lncRNA from 1 species
AUUAUUUAAGGAAUGUCCUUCCAGUCUGCAGGCGGAUAGGCUCUCCAAGGAGAUUUUGGCAGGGGUGAAAUGACUGGCAUUUUGACCUGAGCAAAAUUUCUGAAUUUCUGAGCUGUGAUAGACACUGGAGCUUCUGGCUCUUGGGACUCUCGCAGAACUCCACCUGCUCACCCGCAGGCCUCAGGCCUUCAGAUUAGGACUGAAUUCCAUCACUGGCUUUCCUGGUUCUCCAGCUUGCAGAUGGCAGAUGAUGAGACUUCUCAGCCUCCAUAAUCAUGUGAGCCAAUUCCCAUAAUAAGUCUCUCUCUAUCUCUGUCUUACUCUCUCUUGAUUCUGUUUCUCUGAAGAACCCUAACUAAUACAGAUACCUUCAUUUUACAAAUGAAUAAAGUGCAGUGCCAGAGAAGUUCUGUGAAUUGUCUAGGGUCAUACAACUCCUUCAUUUAUUUAAUCAUUCAUUAAGUCAACUAGUGUUCUAGGUGCCAAGGAAGUCAACAUACUAGACCACAUUGCCUGUCUUCAAGAAAGUUAUCUUU